rnacentral:misc_RNA from 1 species
UCUCCGUUGGUGAACCAGCGGAGGGAUCAUUACAGGACUCGCAAGACUCCUUCAACCCUGUGAACUUAACUAUAAGCACGUUGCUUCGGCGGGUGUCUCGGAGGGGGUUCUCCCUCCCCGAGACGCUAAACCCGCCGGCAGCCUACUAUACUCUGUCUCUUUGCGUUGGCAUCUCGAGUACAAUCAAAUAAGUUAAAACUUUCAACAACGGAUCUCUUGGUUCUG